GGUGAGUACUGCUUCGGCCGGGUCUUUCCUUCUGGCUAGCCAUUUGGCGAACCAGGACGAUUACUUUGAGGAAAUUAGAGUGUUCAAAGCAGCCUUUGCUCGGAUAUAUAGCAUGGAAUAAUAGAAUAGGACGUAUGGGUUCUAUUUUUGUUGGUUUCUAGGACCAUCGUAAUGAUUAUAGGGACGGUCGGGGGCAUCAGUAUUCAGUUGUCAGAGGUGAAAUUCUUGGAUUAACUGAAGACUAACUACUGCGAAAGCAUUUGCCAAGGACGUUUUCAUUAAUCAAGAACGAAAGUUAGGGGAUCGAAGAUGAUCAGAUACCGUCGUAGUCUUAACCAUAAACUAUGCCGACUAGGGAUCGAGUGGCGCUAUUUUGCCCACUCGGCACCUUACGAGAAAUCAAAGUUUUUGGGUUCUGGGGGGAGUAUGGUCGCAAGGCUGAAACUUAAAGGAAUUGACGGAAGGGCACCACCAGGAGUGGAGCCUGCGGCUUAAUUUGACUCAACACGGGGAAACUCACCAGGUCCAGACGUAAUAAGGAUUGACAAGUUAGAGACUUCUCUUGAUCUUACGGGUGGUGGUGCAUGGCCGUUUUUAGUCCUUGGAGUGAUUUGUCUGCUUAAUUGCGAUAACGGACGAGACCUUAACCUGCUAAAUAGGGCUGCGAGCAUCUGCUCGUGGGCUCUUCUUAGAGGGACUAUGGG
rnacentral:rRNA from 1 species